rnacentral:rRNA from 1 species
ACCUUAGUGGCGGACGGGUGAGUAACGCGUAGGUAUCUAUCCUMAGGUGGGGGAUAACAGCGGGAAACUGCUGCUAAUACCGCAUAAUGGCUGAGGCCCAAAGCAGCGAUGCGCCAUUGGAGGAGCCUGCGUACGAUUAGCUUGUUGGUGGGGUAACGGCCUACCAAGGCGAUGAUCGUUAGCUGGUCUGAGAGGAUGAUCAGCCACAUUGGGACUGAGACACGGCCCAAACUCCUACGGGAGGCAGCAGUGGGGAAUAUUGGACAAUGGGGGAAACCCUGAUCCAGCAAUGCCGCGUGUGUGAAGAAGGUCUUAGGAUUGUAAAGCACUUUCGACGGGGACGAUGAUGACGGUACCCGUAGAAGAAGCCCCGGCUAACUUCGUG